rnacentral:rRNA from 1 species
UACGUAGGGUGCAAGCGUUAUCCGGAAUUAUUGGGCGUAAAGAGCUCGUAGGCGGUUUGUCGCGUCUGCUGUGAAAACUGGGGGCUCAACCCCCAGCCUGCAGUGGGUACGGGCAGACUAGAGUGCGGUAGGGGAGAUUGGAAUUCCUGGCGUAGCGGUGAAAUGCGCAGAUAUCAGGAGGAACACCGAUGGCGAAGGCAGGUCUCUGGGCUGUAACUGACGCUGAGGAGCGAAAGCAUGGGGAGCGAACAGG